rnacentral:rRNA from 1 species
UCUUUGGGGUGGACUAGACUGCUAGUCGAGCGCGUCAGCCAAUACGACGCGCGGCACACAGCUCAGUAACACGUGGCUAAUCUGCCCUUAGGACGAGAACAACCCCGGGAAACUGGGGCUAAUUCUUGAUAGGCGAAGAACUCUGGAAUGAGUCUUUACCUAAAUAGAUUCACGUUAUCCUCGUGAACCUGCCUAAGGAUGAGGCCGCGACCGAUCAGGUUGUUGGCGAGGUAAUGGCUCACCAAGCCUUUUACCGGUGCGGGCCGUGGGAGCGGGAGCCCGGAGAUGGGCACUGAGACAAGGACCCAGGCCCUACGGGGCGCAGCAGUCGCGAAACCUUUGCAAUAAGCGAAAGCUUGACAGGGCUAUCCCGAGUGCCAUCCGCUGAGGAAGGCUUUUACCCAGUCUAGAACGCUGGGGGAAUAAGGAGAGGGCAAGUCUGGUGUCAGCCGCCGCGGUAAUACCAGCUCUCCGAGUGGUGUGGAUGUUUAUUGGGCCUAAAGCAUCCGUAGCUGGCUAGGUAAGUCCCUUGUUAAAUCCACCGAAUUAAUCGUUGGAUCGCGGGGGAUACUGCUUGGCUAGGGGACGAGAGAGGCAGACGGUAUUUUCGGGGUAGGGGUGAAAUCCUAUAAUCCCGGGAAGACCACCAGUGGCGAAGGCUGUCUGCUAGAACGCGCCCGACGGUGAGGGAUGAAAGCUGGGGGAGCGAACCGGAUUAGAUACCCGGGUAGUCCCAGCUGUAAACGAUGCAGACUAGGUGUUUGGACGGCCACGUGCCGUUCUAGUGCCGCAGGGAAGCUGUUAAGUCUGCC